rnacentral:siRNA from 1 species
GAAAACGUGAUGUCCAAGUACCA